UACGUAGGGGGCAAGCGUUAUCCGGAAUUACUGGGUGUAAAGGGUGAGUAGGCGGCAUGGUAAGCAAGAUGUGAAAGCCCGCGGCUUAACCGCGGGAUUGCAUUUUGAACUACCAAGCUAGAGUACAGGAGAGGAAAGCGGAAUUCCUAGUGUAGCGGUGAAAUGCGUAGAUAUUAGGAAGAACACCAGUGGCGAAGGCGGCUUUCUGGACUGAAACUGACGCUGAUGCACGAAAGCGUGGGGAGCGAACAGG
rnacentral:rRNA from 1 species